rnacentral:rRNA from 1 species
CCUACCAAGGCGACGAUCGGUAGCUGGUCUGAGAGGAUGACCAGCCACACUGGAACUGAGACACGGUCCAGACUCCUACGGGAGGCAGCAGUGGGGAAUAUUGGACAAUGGGGGCAACCCUGAUCCAGCAAUGCCGCGUGUGUGAAGAAGGCCUGAGGGUUGUAAAGCACUUUCAGUGGGGAGGAGGGUUGAUAGGUUAAGAGCUGAUUAACUGGACGUUACCCACAGAAGAAGCACCGGCUAACUCCGUGCCAGCAGCCGCGGUAAUACGGAGGGUGCGAGCGUUAAUCGGAAUUACUGGGCGUAAAGGGUGCGUAGGUGGUUGAUUAAGUUAUCUGUGAAAUUCCUGGGCUUAACCUGGGACGGUCAGAUAAUACUGGUUGACUCGAGUAUGGGAGAGGGUAGUGGAAUUUCCGGU